ACGGAAGGCAGCAGGGAAUAUUGGGCAAUGGGCGCAAGCCUGACCCAGCAACGCCGCGUGAAGGAUGAAGGUCUUCGGAUUGUAAACUUCUUUGAUUGGGGAAGAAUAAAUGACCUACCCAAAGAACAAGUCACGGCUAACUACGUGCCAGCAGCCGCGGUAAUACGUAGGUGACAAGCGUUAUCCGGAUUUACUGGGUGUAAAGGGCGUGUAGGCGGUUCUGUAAGUCAGAAGUGAAAUUCCCGGGCUCAACCUGGGCGCUGCUUCUGAAACUACAGAACUUGAGUACUGGAGGGGAAAGCGGAAUUCCUAGUGUAGCGGUAAAAUGCACAGAUAUUAGGAGGAACACCGGUGGCGAAGGCGGCUUUCUGGACAGUAACUGACGCUGAGGCGCGAAAGCGUGGGGAGCAAACAGGAUUAGAUACCCUGGUA
rnacentral:rRNA from 1 species